UCUCCGUAGGUGAACCUGCGGAGGGAUCAUUAACGAGUUCCCCUUAAACGGGUAGAAUUCCCACCCUAUGUUAUCAUUACCUUUGUUGCUUUGGCGGGCCGCCUCGGCCUCGGUCAGGCUACCGGCUCCGGCUGGUAAGCGCCCGCCAGAGGACCCCAAACUCUGAAUAUUAGUGUCGUCUGAGUACUAUAUAAUAGUCAAAACUUUCAACAACGGAUCUCUUGGUUCUG
rnacentral:misc_RNA from 1 species